AACGAACGCUGGCGGCAGGCCUAACACAUGCAAGUCGAGCGAGGACUUCGGUCCUAGCGGCGGACGGGUGGGUAACGCGUGGGAACGUGCCCUUUGCUACGGAAUAGCCCCGGGAAACUGGGAGUAAUACCGUAUGUGCCCUUUGGGGGAAAGAUUUAUCGGCAAAGGAUCGGCCCGCGUUGGAUUAGGUAGUUGGUGGGGUAAUGGCCUACCAAGCCGACGAUCCAUAGCUGGUUUGAGAGGAUGAUCAGCCACACUGGGAUUGAGACACGGCCCAGACUCCUCCAGGAGGCAGCAGUGGGGAAUCUUAGACAAUGGGCGCAAGCCUGAUCUAGCCAUGCCGCGUGAGCGAUGAAGGCCUUAGGGUUGUAAAGCUCUUUCGUGGGGGAAGAUAAUGACGGUACCCCAAGAAGAAGCCCCGGCUAACUCCGUGCCAGCCGCCGCCGUAAGAC
rnacentral:rRNA from 1 species